rnacentral:rRNA from 1 species
AUUGAACGCUGGCGGCAGGCCUAACACAUGCAAGUCGAACGAGUGGCGGACGGGUGAGUAAUGUCUGGGAAACUGCCCGAUGGAGGGGGAUAACUACUGGAAACGGUAGCUAAUACCGCAUACCAUCGGAUGUGCCCAGAUGGGAUUAGCUUGUAGGUGCGGUAACGGCUCACCUAGGCGACGAUCCCUAGCUGGUCUGAGAGGAUGACCAGGUACACUGGAACUGAGAAACGGGCCAUAAGCCUACGGUAUGCAGCAGUGGGGAAUAUUGCAUAAGUGGCGCAAGCCUGAUGUAGCCAUGUCGGUUGUAUGGAGAAGGCCUGCGGGUUGGAAAGUACUUGCAGCGGGGAGGCGUUUCACGCAGAAUAAGCACCGGCUAACUCCGUGCCAGGAGCCGCGGUAAAUC